ACGUAGGGGGCUAGCGUUAUCCGGAGUUACUGGGCGUAAAGGGUGCGUAGGCGGUCUUUCAAGUCAGGAGUGAAAGGCUACGGCUCAACCGUAGUAAGCUCUUGAAACUGGGAGACUUGAGUGCAGGAGAGGAGAGUGGAAUGCCUAGUGUAGCGGUGAAAUGCGUAGAUAUUAGGAGGAACACCAGUUGCGAAGGCGGCUCGCUGGACUGUAACUGACGCUGAGGCACGAAAGCGUGGGGAGCAAACAGGAUUAGAUACCCUGGUAGUCCACGCUGUAAACGAUGAGUACUAGGUGUCGGGGGUUACCCCC
rnacentral:rRNA from 1 species